AGAACGAACGCUGGCGGCGUGCCUAACACAUGCAAGUCGAACGAGAAAGGGACUUCGGUCCUGAGUACAGUGGCGCACGGGUGAGUAACACGUAGGUAACCUACCUCUAAGUUUGGGAUAACCUGUCGAAAGAUGAGCUAAUACUGAAUGAGACCACAGUUUCCUCGGAAGCAGGGGUCAAAGGUAGCCUCUAUUUAUAAGCUAUCGCUUGGAGAUGGGCCUGCGUACCAUUAGCUAGUUGGUGAGGUAACGGCUCACCAAGGCAAAGAUGGUUAGCUGGUCUGAGAGGAUGAUCAGCCACACUGGAACUGAGACACGGUCCAGACUCCUACGGGAGCAGCAGUGGGGAAUAUUGCGCAAUGGGCGAAAGCCUGACGCAGCAACGCCGCGUGAGUGAUGAAGGCCUUCGGUCGUAAAGCUCUGUCGGAGGAACGAAGUGCUCUCGAGGUUAACAGCCUCGGAAGUGACGUACCUACAAAGGAAGACACCGG
rnacentral:rRNA from 1 species